rnacentral:rRNA from 1 species
UUAAGUUAUUAAGGGCGCACGGUGGAUGCCUUGGCACUAGAAGCCGAUGAAGGACGUUACUAACGACGAUAUGCUUUGGGGAGCUGUAAGUAAGCUUUGAUCCAGAGAUUUCCGAAUGGGGAAACCCAGCAUGAGUUAUGUCAUGUUAUCGAUAUGUGAAUACAUAGCAUAUCAGAAGGCACACCCGGAGAACUGAAACAUCUUAGUACCCGGAGGAAGAGAAAGAAAAUUCGAUUCCCUUAGUAGCGGCGAGCGAAACGGGAAGAGCCCAAACCAACAAGCUUGCUUGUUGGGGUUGUAGGACACUCUAUACGGAGUUACAAAGGACGACAUUAGACGAAUCAUCUGGAAAGAUGAAUCAAAGAAGGUAAUAAUCCUGUAGUCGAAAAUGUUGUCUCUCUUGAGUGGAUCCUGAGUACGACGGAGCACGUGAAAUUCCGUCGGAAUCUGGGAGGACCAUCUCCUAAGGCUAAAUACUCUCUAGUGACCGAUAGUGAACCAGUACCGUGAGGGAAAGGUGAAAAGCACCCCGGAAGGGGAGUGAAAUAGAACCUGAAACCGUGUGCUUACAAGUAGUCAGAGCCCGUUAAUGGGUGAUGGCGUGCCUUUUGUAGAAUGAACCGGCGAGUUACGAUUUGAUGCAAGGUUAAGCAGUAAAUGUGGAGCCGUAGCGAAAGCGAGUCUGAAUAGGGCGUUUAGUAUUUGGUCGUAGACCCGAAACCAGGUGAUCUACCCUUGGUCAGGUUGAAGUUCAGGUAACACUGAAUGGAGGACCGAACCGACUUACGUUGAAAAGUGAGCGGAUGAACUGAGGGUAGCGGAGAAAUUCCAAUCGAACCUGGAGAUAGCUGGUUCUCUCCGAAAUAGCUUUAGGGCUAGCCUCAAGUGAUGAUUAUUGGAGGUAGAGCACUGUUUGGACGAGGGGCCCCUCUCGGGUUACCGAAUUCAGACAAACUCCGAAUGCCAAUUAAUUUAACUUGGGAGUCAGAACAUGGGUGAUAAGGUCCGUGUUCGAAAGGGAAACAGCCCAGACCACCAGCUAAGGUCCCAAAAUAUAUGUUAAGUGGAAAAGGAUGUGGCGUUGCCCAGACAACUAGGAUGUUGGCUUAGAAGCAGCCAUCAUUUAAAGAGUGCGUAAUAGCUCACUAGUCGAGUGACACUGCGCCGAAAAUGUACCGGGGCUAAACAUAUUACCGAAGCUGUGGAUUGUCCUUUGGACAAUGGUAGGAGAGCGUUCUAAGGGCGUUGAAGCAUGAUCGUAAGGACAUGUGGAGCGCUUAGAAGUGAGAAUGCCGGUGUGAGUAGCGAAAGACGGGUGAGAAUCCCGUCCACCGAUUGACUAAGGUUUCCAGAGGAAGACUCGUCCGCUCUGGGUUAGUCGGGUCCUAAGCUGAGGCCGACAGGCGUAGGCGAUGGAUAACAGGUUGAUAUUCCUGUACCACCUAUAAUCGUUUUAAUCGAUGGGGGGACGCAGUAGGAUAGGCGAAGCGUGCGAUUGGAUUGCACGUCUAAGCAGUAAGGCUGAGUAUUAGGCAAAUCCGGUACUCGUUAAGGCUGAGCUGUGAUGGGGAGAAGACAUUGUGUCUUCGAGUCGUUGAUUUCACACUGCCGAGAAAAGCCUCUAGAUAGAAAAUAGGUGCCCGUACCGCAAACCGACACAGGUAGUCAAGAUGAGAAUUCUAAGGUGAGCGAGCGAACUCUCGUUAAGGAACUCGGCAAAAUGACCCCGUAACUUCGGGAGAAGGGGUGCUCUUUAGGGUUAACGCCCAGAAGAGCCGCAGUGAAUAGGCCCAAGCGACUGUUUAUCAAAAACACAGGUCUCUGCUAAACCGUAAGGUGAUGUAUAGGGGCUGACGCCUGCCCGGUGCUGGAAGGUUAAGAGGAGUGGUUAGCUUCUGCGAAGCUACGAAUCGAAGCCCCAGUAAACGGCGGCCGUAACUAUAACGGUCCUAAGGUAGCGAAAUUCCUUGUCGGGUAAGUUCCGACCCGCACGAAAGGCGUAACGAUUUGGGCACUGUCUCAACGAGAGACUCGGUGAAAUCAUAGUACCUGUGAAGAUGCAGGUUACCCGCGACAGGACGGAAAGACCCCGUGGAGCUUUACUGUAGCCUGAUAUUGAAAUUCGGCACAGCUUGUACAGGAUAGGUAGGAGCCUUUGAAACGUGAGCGCUAGCUUACGUGGAGGCGCUGGUGGGAUACUACCCUAGCUGUGUUGGCUUUCUAACCCGCACCACUUAUCGUGGUGGGAGACAGUGUCAGGCGGGCAGUUUGACUGGGGCGGUCGCCUCCUAAAAGGUAACGGAGGCGCUCAAAGGUUCCCUCAGAAUGGUUGGAAAUCAUUCAUAGAGUGUAAAGGCAUAAGGGAGCUUGACUGCGAGACCUACAAGUCGAGCAGGGUCGAAAGACGGACUUAGUGAUCCGGUGGUUCCGCAUGGAAGGGCCAUCGCUCAACGGAUAAAAGCUACCCCGGGGAUAACAGGCUUAUCUCCCCCAAGAGUUCACAUCGACGGGGAGGUUUGGCACCUCGAUGUCGGCUCAUCGCAUCCUGGGGCUGUAGUCGGUCCCAAGGGUUGGGCUGUUCGCCCAUUAAAGCGGUACGCGAGCUGGGUUCAGAACGUCGUGAGACAGUUCGGUCCCUAUCCGUCGUGGGCGUAGGAAAUUUGAGAGGAGCUGUCCUUAGUACGAGAGGACCGGGAUGGACAUACCUCUGGUGUACCAGUUGUCGUGCCAACGGCAUAGCUGGGUAGCUAUGUGUGGACGGGAUAAGUGCUGAAAGCAUCUAAGCAUGAAGCCCCCCUCAAGAUGAGAUUUCCCAACUUCGGUUAUAAGAUCCCUCAAAGAUGAUGAGGUUAAUAGGUUCGAGGUGGAAGCAUGGUGACAUGUGGAGCUGACGAAUACUAAUCGAUCGAAGACUUAAUCAA